UUCCGAUUAUUUGUCGAUUAUUUUAAAUAAAUUCUAUUCUUUUCUUUUGUGAUUCUCCCCUAGGUAGCUACUACAAAAUCUUCAGAGCUAAGGGUCAAGUACCAGCACAAAGCUACAAUAUUUUCAUGGAUCUUUUGCUGGAAACAGUUCGCGAUGAAAUUGGUGCAUGCUUGGAAAGCUCAUACGACAAGAUUUCCACAAAAGAAGCACAAAAACGAUUGAAUUUCAAAAACGAAAAGGAAGCUAUCUCUUUUGGUAAGAGACGUAAUUGGUCUUUAGGUCCGGGCAAUGUGUACACAUUUGCCAGCCAAACAAACAAACCAAAAGAACCAGUGCCGUCAGUUGAAUUGGUUGAACAAGCCAUUUUCUAUGCGCGUGAAUUGGAAAUGAUUGUUUAAUUUAGUUUUAUACUUCUAUUUUCCUACUAAAAACCAUCAACUUAUUGAAUGAUAUCAUCAUCGGCAUUAAUAAGCGAAAUAAAGAGCAUUAAUUGAGAAAAAAA